rnacentral:rRNA from 1 species
AAAUGCCUACGGGGCGCAGCAGUGGGGGAUAUUGCACAAUGGGGGAAACCCUGAUGCAGCGACGCCGCGCGGGUGAAGAAGCGCCUCGGCGCGUAAAGCCCUGUCAGCAGGGAAGAAAAUGACGGUACCUGAAGAAGAAGCCCCGGCUAACUACGUGCUAGCAGCCGCGGUAAUACGUAGGGGGCAAGCGUUAUCCGGAUUUACUGGGUGUAAAGGGGGCGCAGACGGCGAUGCAAGCCAGGAGUGAAAGCCCGGGGCCCAACCCCGGGACUGCUCUUGGAACUGCGUGGCUAGAGUGCAGGAGG